rnacentral:tRNA from 1 species
GGGGCUGUCGGCUAGCAUGGUCUAGGCUCCGAGACUUGGGCUCUCGGGACCCCGGUUCGAAUCCGGGCAGCCCCACCA